rnacentral:rRNA from 1 species
GAUGAACGCUGGCGGCGUGCCUAAUACAUGCAAGUCGAGCGAACGGACGAGAAGCUUGCUUCUCUGAUGUUAGCGGCGGACGGGUGAGUAACACGUGGAUAACCUACCUAUAAGACUGGGAUAACUUCGGGAAACCGGAGCUAAUACCGGAUAAUAUUUUGAACCGCAUGGUUCAAAAGUGAAAGACGGUCUUGCUGUCACUUAUAGAUGGAUCCGCGCUGCAUUAGCUAGUUGGUAAGGUAACGGCUUACCAAGGCAACGAUGCAUAGCCGACCUGAGAGGGUGAUCGGCCACACUGGAACUGAGACACGGUCCAGACUCCUACGGGAGGCAGCAGUAGGGAAUCUUCCGCAAUGGGCGAAAGCCGGACGGAGCAACGCCGCGUGAGUGAUGAAGGUCUUCGGAUCGUAAAACUCUGUUAUUGGGGAAGAACAUAUGUGUAAGUAACUGUGCACAUCUUGACAGUACCUAAUCAGAAAGCCACGGCUAACUACGUG